AUUGAACGCUGGCGGCAGGCUUAACACAUGCAAGUCGAGCGAGCGGCGGACGGGUGAGUAAUGUCUGGGAAACUGCCCGAUGGAGGGGGAUAACUACUGGAAACGGUAGCUAAUACCGCAUACCAUCGGAUGUGCCCAGAUGGGCUUAGCUAGUAGGUGGGGUAAAGGCUCACCUAGGCGACGAUCCCUAGCUGGUCUGAGAGGAUGACCAGCCAAACUGGAACUGAGACCCGGGCCAGACUCCUACGGGAGGCAGCAGGGGGGAAUAGUGCACAAUGGGCGCAAGCCUGAUGCAGCCAUGCCGCGUGUAUGAAGAAGGCCUUCGGGUUGUAAAGUACUUUCAGCGGGGAGGCGUUACCCGCAGAAGAAGCACCGGCUAACUCCGUGCCAGCAGCCGCGGUAAUAC
rnacentral:rRNA from 1 species